UACGGGGGGGGCAAGCGUUGUUCGGAAUUACUGGGCGUAAAGGGCUCGUAGGCGGCCAACUAAGUCACACGUGAAAUCCCUCGGCUCAACCGGGGAACUGCGUGUGAGACUGGAUGGCUUGAGUUUGGGAGAGGAAUGCGGAAUUCCAGGUGUAGCGGUGAAAUGCGUAGAUAUCCGGAGGAACACCGGUGGCGAAGGCGGCUUCCUGGACCGACACUGACGCUGAGGCGCGAAAGCUAGGGGAGCAAACGGG
rnacentral:rRNA from 1 species